CCCUUAGAUGUUCUGGGCCGCACGCGCGCUACACUGACAGGUUCAUCGAGCUUACAACCUUGAUCGAGAGGUCUGGGUAAACUUUUAAAAGCCUGUCGUGCUGGGGAUAGAUUAUUGUAAUUUUUAAUCUUCAACGAGGAAUUCCUAGUAAACGCAAGUCAUCAACUUGCAUUGAUUACGUCCCUGCCCUUUGUACACACCGCCCGUCGCUCCUACCGAUUGAAUGAUCCGAUGAAUAUCAUGGAUUGAGGAUUAUAGCAGGUUCGCCUGUCUUGAUCUUCGAGAAGUGAAGUAAAUCUUAUCAUUUAGAGGAAGGAGAAGUCGUAACA
rnacentral:rRNA from 1 species